CAGCGUAUAGAAAUAGUUGCUUUGCAUGACGUUUUAAAAUACAUAUUGCAGACUGUGGGAAUGUAAUCCACCAGGAGUUGGUGUGAAGUUAUAUGCAAACAUGGAUUAUACGCAAGAAAGUAUGUAAGCAAUGUGAAUGGUGCCUAAACUACAUCAUACACAGCUAUUGAUUCACAACCCUGGGAAUCAUCCGAGCCCACUCGUAUUAAUGUGUCUUCAGAGCGAGUUCAUGAAACUGUGACGGUGGACACUUCAUGGUUUGUGUAAAAAUUUAGGCACAGUUAGAGCAGCAACUUCGGCGUUUCUUUUUUUUAUAUUCACCGAUUUCAAUAAAACUUUA